rnacentral:rRNA from 1 species
GACGUAGGGUGCUAGCGUUAUUCGGAAUUACUGGGCGUAAAGCGCUCGUAGGCGGAUCUGUAAGUCAAUUGUGAAAGCCCUGGGCUCAACCCGGGAAUGGCAGUUGAAACUGCAGACCUUGAAUACCUGAGAGGGUGAACGAAAUUCCUGGUGUAGUAGUGAAAUACGUAGAUAUCAGGAGGAACACCUGAGGCGAAAGCGGUUGCCUGGCAGUGUAUUGACGCUGGAGGAAGCGAAAGCGUGGGGAGCAAACAGG